UACGGGGGGGGCAAGCGUUGUUCGGAAUUACUGGGCGUAAAGGGCUCGUAGGUGGCCAACUAAGUCAGACGUGAAAUCCCUCGGCUUAACCGGGGAACUGCGUCUGAUACUGGAUGGCUUGAGAUUGGGAGAGGGACGCGGAAUUCCAGGUGUAGCGGUGAAAUGCGUAGAUAUCUGGAGGAAUACCGGUGGCGAAGGCGGCAUCCUGGACCGGCAUUGACGCUGAAGCGCGAAAGCUAGGGGAGCAAACGGG
rnacentral:rRNA from 1 species